rnacentral:rRNA from 1 species
GAUGAACGCUGGCGGCGUGCCUAAUACAUGCAAGUCGAGCGAACGGACGAGAAGCUUGCUUCUCUGAUGUUAGCGGCGGACGGGUGAGUAACACGCGGAUAACCUACCUAUAAGACUGGGAUAACUUCGGGAAACCGUAGCUAAUACCAGAUAAUAUUUUGAACCGCAUGGUUCAAAAGUGAAAGACGGUCUUGCUGUCACUUAUAGAUGGAUCCGCGCUGCAUUAGCUAGUUGGUAAGGUAACGGCUUACCAAGGCAACGAUGCAUAGCCGACCUGAGAGGGUGAUCGGCCACACUGGAACUGAGACACGGUCCAGACUCCUACGGGAGGCAGCAGUAGGGAAUCUUCCGCAAUGGGCGAAAGCCUGACGGAGCAACGCCGCGUGAGUGAUGAAGGUCUUCGGAUCGUAAAACUCUGUUAUUAGGGAAGAACAUAUGUGUAAGUAACUGUGCACAUCUUGACGGUACCUAAUCAGAAAGCCACGGCUAACUACGUG